rnacentral:misc_RNA from 1 species
AGAGUAAAAUAGUACGUGAAAUUGUUGAAAGGGAAACGAUUGAAGUCAGUCGUGCAGGCGCGAAAUCAGCCCCGUUGCUAGUAACCUCAAGGGCGUGGCGAGCCUCAAAACCGCCACGGCCUUGCGACUACGAGCAACGAGGUGCACUUUUGUGUCAGCUGGUUAACAUCAAUUUCGAUUGUCAUAAAAAGGCUGGAGGGAUGUGGCUCCUUCGGGAGUGUUAUAACCUUUGGCGGAAUGUGGUGGACGAGAUUGAGGAUUGCAACGAAUACCUUUAGGGCUGUUCCACCUGGCCUCUCAUUGGUAUCAUGGCGGCGACAGCUUGCUGACGUUGUUAGGAUCCGCCUUUGAACAGGCUAGAGUGUGAGCAAAUUCGUUAAGGAUGUUAACGUAAUGGCUUUAAACGA